rfam:Human immunodeficiency virus 1 pro gene for protease, partial cds, isolate: 00ZM4796.
GGCCAGGGGGAAAGAAAAGAUAUAUGCUAAAACACCUAAUAUGGGCAAGCAGGGAGCUGGACAGAUAUGCACUUAACCCUGACC